UGCAGUGGGUCAGUGCAUCCUCGCAGGUGUGAUCUACAUCAUGAGAGACUGGAGAGUCACACAACUCAUCACAGCAGCUCCACUUACUCUUACCAUCGUCUACAUUUGGUUUAUUCCAGAGUCAGCCAGGUGGUUGUUGAACAGAGGAAAGACAGAAGAGGCCAAACAGCUGAUCAUGAAGGCAGCAGCCAUCAAUAAGCACACUGUUCCAGACUACGUGUUGGACAAGAUUGAUGUGAAAGAAGUUGGAAACAAAGGAGGCAUUCAAGUUUUAUUUAAAUCCCCUGUGCUGAUGAAAUAUUUCUUUAUAAUUGUACUGGCAUGGUGAGUUGAAAUUUCUAUUUAAAAUUCAGAAUGGAUGAAAUUACUGUGUGUAACUUUUAAGGGUUUACGUGUAUAAAGACUCUACAUAUGCUAAAGUUAUCAUGUGGAUAUUAUAAAUGCUAUAAAAUAUCCUAUAUUUAAUUAGUUGUGCUCAGUUGAAUCUAUGUGUCACAUUUGUGUCUUUGCUGCAGGUUUGCUACGACCCUUGCAGUGUAUUGCCUGUACUUCAAUAUGGCAAACUUAGGCUUGAGCAUCUUCCUCACUCAGUUCUUGUUUGGAGCAAUUGAGAUCCCAGCCCACACACUCAACAUGUGGUUGCUGGAGGUUUUUGGAAGAAAAAAAUUAUUCAUAGCUACAAUUCUGUUUGGAGGAAUCUCUUGCAUACUUAUCCUGGCUGUUCCUCAGGGUAAACUCCAGCACAUACAAGCAAAGCACUAUUUUUUACCAUGCUCAUUUAGUUAUAAAAAAGUUGUUUUAUGCAUGGUAUGUUUUGUUUUUUCAGGAUAUAACAGCGCUGUUACGGCCUUAGCCGUCAUAGCGCGUUUUCUCCUGAUGUGGGGGGCUACAAUAUGCUGUAUUUUUAUCCAAGAGCUGUUUCCAACAUCUGUAAGGUAGGUGCUCAAUGACUUUAAAAGCAAACUUUAAAGAACUUAAAAAGAAAACAUAUCAAUUUCUUAAUAUUUACUUGCUUCUGUUUCUGAUUAAUGGUUUGACACAUGAGAGUGACAAGCCCUCUAGCUGAAUGUUUAACCAACAUUUGUUGAGCAAAAACAUUUUUUUGACCCAAAUGUGUGACUUCCCCUUUCAGACAAACAGCCACAGGUUUGGGAGCCAUAGGUUCAAGAAUCGGUGGAUUGUUGGCGCCGUUGGUCAACAUGUUGGCCGUCUACCAUCGGGUCAUACCCAUCACAGUCUUCAGCAGCAUUACAAUCAUAAGCGGAGCUCUCGGCUUCCUGCUGCCCGAGACUUGCAGAAAAGAUCUUCCUGAAACGACGGAUGAAGCCGAAAACAACAGAAAUGGGCCUUCAACGAACACCACAGCAUGUUCAACUAAGCUGUAGAUCUGUGUUUAAAUGCAAAAUCACUUAACAUUGAACAAAAAUACCAAAAGAAGCUGUAGAAGUCAGAAGUAUAAAGUCAUAUAGACACAAAGAUUAUUUACGUUUUGUUUUUGACUCCAUAUGCUGCUGUAUUUGUAAUUAACUGUCCAAAAUUAACUCUUUUUUUAUGAUUUUUUUUUCUUUCGAACUAGAUGCACUUUGUAUAUAAAUAUGAUACACAUGAACUAUGAAAUGAUCAAAUCAAAUAUUAAGAAUGAUUUUUAUUCAUUCCAUAACACUAUGCAUAUGUGAAUAAUAUUGUUGUGUUUGCAAACAAAGAAUAAACUUUAAAGGAACCUUGUGA